AACGGGGAGCAGCCCAGAGUCUGAAUCAGCUUGUGUGUUAGUGGAACGGUCUGGAAAGUCCGACGGUACAGGGUGAUAGUCCCGUACACCAAAAUGCACAGGUUGUGAACUCGAAGAGUAGGGCGGGACACGUGGUAUCCUGUCUGAAUAUGGGGGGACCAUCCUCCAAGGCUAAAUACUCCUGACUGACCGAUAGUGAACCAGUACCGUGAGGGAAAGGCGAAAAGAUCCCCGGCGAGGGGAGUGAAAAAGAUCCUGAAACCGUGUACGUACAAGCAGUGGGAGCACCUUCGGGUGUGACUGCGUACCUUUUGUAU
rnacentral:rRNA from 1 species